CCUACGGGAGGCAGCAGUAGGGAAUCUUCCGCAAUGGACGAAAGUCUGACGGAGCAACGCCGCGUGAACGAUGAAGGCCUUCGGGUCGUAAAGUUCUGUUGUUAGGGAAGAACAAGCGCUAGUUGAAUAAGCUGGCACCUUGACGGUACCUAACCAGAAAGCCACGGCUAACUACGUGCCAGCAGCCGCGGUAAUACGUAGGUGGCAAGCGUUGUCCGGAAUUAUUGGGCGUAAAGCGCGCGCAGGCGGUUUCUUAAGUCUGAUGUGAAAGCCCCCGGNUCAACCGGGGAGGGUCAUUGGAAACUGGGAAACUUGAGUGCAGAAGAGGAAAGUGGAAUUCCAAGUGUAGCGGUGAAAUGCGUAGAGAUUUGGAGGAACACCAGUGGCGAAGGCGACUUUCUGGUCUGUAACUGACGCUGAGGCGCGAAAGCGUGGGGAGCAAACAGGAUUAGAUACCCUGGUAGUCCACGCUGUAAACGAUGAGUGCUAAGUGUUAGUACGGGUUUCCGCCCGUUUAGUGUCGUGUAAGUUAACGUACUAUUAAGUACACUCCGCCGUCGGGGAGGUACGGUACGGCGACGACGUAGUAAACGUUAAAGUUAGUUAAGUUAGUACGGUUCGUUGUAGACGUUGCCGACGGACGACGACGAGGGAGGAGG
rnacentral:rRNA from 1 species